CCUACGGGGGGCAGCAGUGAGGAAUAUUGGUCAAUGGCCGGAAGGCUGAACCAGCCAUGCCGCGUGAAGGUCAGUGCCCUAUGGGCGUUAAACUUCUUUUGUGCGGGAGCAAUAAUGGUCACGUGUGGCCAGACGAGAGUACCGUACGAAUAAGCAUCGGCUAACUACGUGCCAGCAGCCGCGGUAAUACGGGGGAUGCAAGCGUUAUCCGGAUUUAUUGGGUUUAAAGGGUGCGUAGGCUGUGAGGUAAGUCAGCGGUGAAAUGCCCCCGCUCAACGGGGUGAAGUGCCAUUGAUAUUGCCUUGCUGGAAUGCGGAUGCCGUGGGAGGAAUGUGUGGUGUAGCGGUGAAAUGCAUAGAUAUCACACAGAACACCGAUUGCGAAGGCAGCUCACGAAUCCGCGAUUGACGCUGAUGCACGAAAGCGUGGGUAUCAAACAGGAUUAGAUACCCCAGUAGUC
rnacentral:rRNA from 1 species